rnacentral:lncRNA from 1 species
AUGGGAACUGCAAGUUCUUUCACGGCGUUACUUGAACUGCCGGCGAAUCAAGCGGUGGAGCUUUUAGUACAUUCAUUGGAAACCGACAAAACCGGUGAACCUCACAUACCUCACUAUCGUUAUCCUCCUCCUCCUCCGCCGCCCAUUUUUCCUUCGGAUGCAGCUUUGAUUGACAGAGCUUUUAAGUUCUCCGUCUUCGCCGCCGCCGCCGGAAUUUCGCCGGAGUCUAAUUCAACUCUUUCCAAUUCAGGUUCAAAAUCACUUUUAGUCAAACAAGAACCUCUAGAUUCCGAAUUUAACCAGAAUUCAUCGCCAAUUACCGUUUCCAAUCCGACGGUUAAUCAAAAAACAACUAAGAGAAAGGAACGUGAGAAAAAGGUAAUUUCCACACCACCGUAGCCUCUAUCCUAUUUUAUAUGACACUUUAUUCUUAUUCUGUAUCCAGUCAAAUAAACUCACUUAGAUUUUGGUAUCAGAAGGAGUAAUAAGUUAAUUUUAAAACUUUUAAUUUUACUCUUACUGAGAUAAUUUACAGCCACACAAAUAUUUAUGGCUUUUUUUUAUAUUACAAGUUUCAAAUCCAUGCCCAUGAAACACUAAUUUUCACUAAUUUGGUAGGAACAAAAUUGCAACUUAUUAUACUUUACGUUUUUUCUACUAUUUAAUUUCUAAGAAAUGUGAAAUGAAUUUUGGACCAAAGUAGUAUAUGAAUUUCCAGUUUGUUCAGUAAUUUCUGUGAAAUUCAGGUAAAAGAAACCAGUAGCAAAAAGGGCAAAAAAUCAACGAAUAAUACCUCAGAAGAUGAUGCGGAGAAGCUUCCAUACGUUCACGUCCGAGCUCGUAGAGGCCAAGCGACAGACAGCCAUAGCUUAGCAGAAAGAGUAAGACUCAAAUAUUAAGCGCAAUUAGUGUUUUGCUAAAUUUGGUGAUUAUAUC